rfam:Ictidomys tridecemlineatus contig093923, whole genome shotgun sequence.
GGGGAUAGAACUCAGUUGGUAGAGUGCUUGCUUCCAAUGCACAUGGCCCUGGGUUCAAUCCCCAGCACCCCCA